rnacentral:snoRNA from 1 species
GGUGCAGGUGAUGAUUUCAUGCGACCAAAGCCUGAAAGUUCAUGAUUAGAAUUUUUAUGGCAACUGAUGCACC